UCGAAAGACAACCUCCUUCCACGUGAGCGCUUUCUUCCUUCAGCCUUCUCGUUAUCCUGAACGCGGCAAUCUCCGAAGGUCCCAUCCAAAACCUCGCCGCCGGAUUCGCACCUCACUCUCGCCCGCGCACUACGAAUUGACUGACGCCUACGCCCUACCGCUGCAAGCAGCACCAUAGCGGGAGCCGCUACCAUGGCGUCCUGCUACAACCCGUGGCGCCUAUUCCCAGGCAUGUCGACGGCGGUCCCUGCCGGGCCCGUCACGGCGCCGGCUCAUUCUCGCACCUGCAAGUCCUCGAAAGUGUUCAGUGCUUUGCCUCACCGGAGGGGUCUGCUGUUCCUGGGCACGCGGCGUGCCAGGAUCAAGUGCGUCAAGGACGACUCUCUCCAUUUCGACCCGUCGAAGAUAGAACCGCCACCGUACUCCAGCUACUUCGACUCCACAUCCGGUCAGCUCGAGCCGGCGUCGGGCGCUCGGGCAAGCAUACCCGGGAAGGAGUACUGGCCAGAGGGCACGGCGGCCCGCGUCCGUGCCGCGCGAGCGCCUGCUCCGGUUGGGGAGUCAGCUGGGAUGCCAUCAUUUGGCACGAAGCCCGGGAGCAGGAGGAGAGGGUAUAAGGAGCAGGUGACGUCGGCGUCAGGAACGGAGGGUGCACAGACUGAUGACAGAAAGGAUGGUGAUGAACCUGAUGUGGCUAUUAUAGGCUCUGGGGACGAUGCAUUGGAGGAGAUAAAGGAUUCGGUGGAUGAGUAUGUCAUUUAUGAGACACCAGAGGAAGAGGAGCUGAGUGAGUAUGACAUGGACAAAAUGAUGGGGCGGCCACACCCGUUCAUUGAUCCAGCAAAGGCAAUGUCACUAGGGGAGCCGAAAACCAGUGAAGAGCUCUGGUGGCACUGGAGGAGGAAGUCUCAGGAGGAGGAAAUGUGGUCAAGAUGGCAGAGGAGGCGUCCAGAUGUUGACACGGUUUUUGCAAAGGCAAUGGCGGAGACUGGGCAAAUUAAAAUUUUUGGGGACCAUCCUUCACGGACAGAAGCUGCUCUUGCAAAGACAAGAAGACAUUUGUACAAAGAGGAAAGGUUAGAAGCAGAGCAAAGGAGACUAGAAGAAAUAGGGCCAAUAGCGUACUACUCAGAAUGGGUUGAAGCUUAUAAAAACAAGGAUACAUCACGUGAGGCCAUACAGAAGCACUUUGAGGAAACUGGCGAAGAUGAGAAUGUUCAACUUAUAAAAAUGUUUCAACACCAAACUGCUGGGGAAUAUCGUAUCAUGAUGGGCACCGAUGUGCGUAUUCAGCGAGAUCCUUUGGCCAUGAGAAUGCGGGAAGACCAGAUCAAACAGAUUUGGGGCGGUGAUCCUGUCUAUCCAACAAUUAAUUAUGUUCAGGAUCCUGAUGAAGUGAUUGACUACAGAGGUCCUGAAUUUCAUGAGCCUACCCCUGAAGUUGUACCUUACCUGAUGGAGCAUGGGAUAAUGAUCACAAAGGAAGAGCUAUAUGCACGUCUGAAUGAAGAGAGAGAGGACGUCAAUCAAGACAUAACGUAUAUUCCUGAAGCUAAAGAUCCUAUGGCUACCGCCAUUGAUAUAGGAGAGCAUUCUUACAAUGAAGACAGUGAUGAUGAGGAUGAGGAUGUCGAUAAAGCUGCUGCACAGCCUCAAUCACUAGAGGAUGAGGAAGACGAUAGGGAUGAUGUUGCAGAAGUAGAAGAGAAAGUGAACCAGAAUUGGAGUGCUCUAAAGUCUACUGGACAGGCUGAAAAGCCCAAGGAAAAAUCAAAGAAAGAUGAAAUGACACUAAAAGAAGCUAUUGACGAUUCUGAGAACCUAACUGACUUUCUUAUGGACUUUGAGGAAACCGAGUAAUACUCUGGACAUUUUGCUAUUCUGUCCCAUCACACAUGGACUGGAGCAAUGAAAGGAAACACUGGUCGAGUAGCCCCUUAAUCAUUUCUUUGAUUCUUCCCAAGGCUUGAAGCUGCAGCUCUAAUUAGCCUGAGGGAUUCAACAAAGUCAUCCAGCAGCUUAUGAGAAUCUGGAAAUUAUUCUUGAGAACUUACUUCUGGAGACUCAUAGCCCUUAGGGGCUAGGGGCGAUGAAGAAAACUGGAUGUCCACAAAACUCUACUUGCUCAAUACGAUGGAAGGUAGCUCCAGCUGCCUGUUUUGAUUCACAAGUUGGCAAUGCUAUCAGAAAAAAGGAAUCCAGAUAGAAUGUUGUGGCGCAUGGCUCAAGAAUUGACAACAAUCUUCAUGCUUUUGAAGAAACAAGAGAAGCCACAAAACAAGAGAUAAGGAGUAGCUUAACCAUUUGCAGUUGGAACUAUGUUAGCCUUCUUAGGCUGUCCGCAGAAGAUCGUGUAAAAUAGGAAAUUCACACUGUAGAUUACAUUAUUUGCAGAGUUAAGUUUGAAAAAGAAGAUAAGACAUGAGAUGAGAUAUGAUAGCUGCUAGAGACAGUGUUACACCAUAAAUAAUAUAUUUCGACUAGGCAUGAGCUGUGCGUUUUUAGAUAAGUUUGCCAGUUAGGGUGUGUGUGGUUUAUUGGUUACAAUGAUGCGACGAGAUAAGACAAGACAAUAUAAGCUUGUUUGGUUCAGAGUUGGGACAGGGAAAUAUUCUAAUUUGAUACC